CCUACGGGCGGCAGCAGCGGGGAAUAUUGCACAAUGGGCGCAAGCCUGAUGCAGCCAUGCCGCGUGUGUGAAGAAGGCCUUCGGGUUGUAAAGCACUUUCAGCGGGGAGGAAGGCGUUGAGGUUAAUAACCUCAUCGAUUGACGUUACCCGCAGAAGAAGCACCGGCUAACUCCGUGCCAGCAGCCGCGGUAAUACGGAGGGUGCAAGCGUUAAUCGGAAUUACUGGGCGUAAAGCGCACGCAGGCGGUCUGUCAAGUCGGAUGUGAAAUCCCCGGGCUCAACCUGGGAACUGCAUUCGAAACUGGCAGGCUAGAGUCUUGUAGAGGGGGGUAGAAUUCCAGGUGUAGCGGUGAAAUGCGUAGAGAUCUGGAGGAAUACCGGUGGCGAAGGCGGCCCCCUGGACAAAGACUGACGCUCAGGUGCGAAAGCGUGGGGAGCAAACAGGAUUAGAUACCCCGGUAGUC
rnacentral:rRNA from 1 species